UACGUAGGGUGCAAGCGUUGUCCGGAAUUAUUGGGCGUAAAGAGCUCGUAGGCGGUUUGUCGCGUCUGCCGUGAAAGUCCGGGGCUCAACUCCGGAUCUGCGGUGGGUACGGGCAGACUAGAGUGUGGUAGGGGAGACUGGAAUUCCUGGUGUAGCGGUGAAAUGCGCAGAUAUCAGGAGGAACACCGAUGGCGAAGGCAGGUCUCUGGGCCACUACUGACGCUGAGAAGCGAAAGCAUGGGGAGCGAACAGG
rnacentral:rRNA from 1 species